GGUGAGAUGGCCGAGCGGUCUAAGGCGCCAGACUAAGGAUCAGGGUAGCUGCUACCUUCAGUGUAUAAACUGUCAUCUGGUCUCUUCGGGGGCGCGAGUUCGAAUCUCGCUCUCAUCA